rnacentral:piRNA from 1 species
UAAUCCUUGUAGCGAGGCAGCCAAAAUGUGU